AGAGUUUGAUCCUGGCUCAGGAUGAACGCUGGCGGCAUGCCUAAUACAUGCAAGUCGAACGAGAUGAGAAGAAGCUUGCUUCUUUGAAUCUAGUGGCGAACGGGUGAGUAACACGUAGGUAACCUGCCCAUGUGCCCGGGAUAACUUCUGGAAACGGAUGCUAAAACCGGAUAGGUAGCAGACAAGCAUUUGACUGCUAUUAAAGUGGCCUUGGCCAUGAACAUGGAUGGACCUGCGGUGCAUUAGCUGGUUGGUGAGGUAACGGCCCACCAAGGCGACGAUGCAUAGCCGGCCUGAGAGGGCGGACGGCCACAUUGGGACUGAGACACGGCCCAAACUCCUACGGGAGGCAGCAGUAGGGAAUUUUCGUCAAUGGGGGGAACCCUGAACGAGCAAUGCCGCGUGAGUGAGGAAGGUCUUCGGAUCGUAAAGCUCUGUUGUAAGAGAAAAACGGCACUCAUAGGGAAUGAUGAGUGAGUGAUGGUAUCUUACCAGAAAGUCACGGCUAACUACGUGCCAGCAGCCGCGGUAAUACGUAGGUGGCGAGCGUUAUCCGGAAUGAUUGGGCGUAAAGGGUGCGUAGGUGGCAGAUCAAGUCUGGAGUAAAAGGUAUGGGCUCAACCCGUACUGGCUCUGGAAACUGAUCAGCUAGAGAACAGAAGAGGACGGCGGAACUCCAUGUGUAGCGGUAAAAUGCGUAGAUAUAUGGAAGAACACCGGUGGCGAAGGCGGCCGUCUGGUCUGGAUUCUGACACUGAAGCACGAAAGCGUGGGGAGCAAAUAGGAUUAGAUACCCUAGUAGUCCACGCCGUAAACGAUGAGAACUAGGUGUUGGGGGAAUAACUCAGUGCCGCAGUUAACGCAGUAAGUUCUCCGCCUGGGGAGUAUGCACGCAAGUGUGAAACUCAAAGGAAUUGACGGGGGCCCGCACAAGCGGUGGAGUAUGUGGUUUAAUUCGAAGCAACGCGAAGAACCUUACCAGGCCUUGACAUCCCUUGCAGAGGUAUAGAGAUAUAUCCGAGGUUAUCAAGGAGACAGGUGGUGCAUGGUUGUCGUCAGCUCGUGUCGUGAGAUGUUGGGUU
rnacentral:rRNA from 1 species